GCACUGCUGAGGAGUCCCAUACUUGGACGAAACGGCCGUUCAGUGC
rnacentral:hammerhead_ribozyme from 1 species